GCUAAUACCGCAUACGCACUGAGGUGGAAAGCGAGGGGAUCGCAAGACCUUGCGCUAUACGAGCGGCCGAUGUCAGAUUAGCUAGUUGGUAGGGUAAAGGCCUACCAAGGCGACGAUCUGUAGCGGGUCUGAGAGGAUGAUCCGCCACACUGGGACUGAGACACGGCCCAGACUCCUACGGGAGGCAGCAGUGGGGAAUUUUGGACAAUGGGCGAAAGCCUGAUCCAGCCAUGCCGCGUGAGUGAAGAAGGCCUUCGGGUUGUAAAGCUCUUUCGGCUGGGAAGAAAUCGCACAGGCUAAUACUCUGUGUGGAUGACGGUACCAGCACAAGAAGCACCGGCUAACUACGUG
rnacentral:rRNA from 1 species